UACGAAGGGGGCUAGCGUUGCUCGGAAUCACUGGGCGUAAAGGGUGCGUAGGCGGGUCUUUAAGUCCGGGGUGAAAUCCUGGAGCUCAACUCCAGAACUGCCUUUGAUACUGAGAAGCUUGAGUCCGGGAGAGGUGAGUGGAACUGCGAGUGUAGAGGUGAAAUUCGUAGAUAUUCGCAAGAACACCAGUGGCGAAGGCGGCUCACUGGCCCGGUACUGACGCUGAGGUGCGAAAGCGUGGGGAGCAAACAGG
rnacentral:rRNA from 1 species